CAUCCUUCCGCAACAACAACCAUCACCAUCCCCUCCCUUUCAAUCCACAAUGCAAUAACAGAUCUCCACCAUUCAAACCUUCAUUUCCAGAUUCAAUCAUCAAUGGGUAGUGUUUCUUCAGAAGACGACCAACAAAGCGAUAGAGGUGGUGGUAGCUACUGUUUAAGUGCAGAUGUUAGUGAAUCUGAAAGUUCUAGUAGUUUCUCUCUCCUUCGCUUUGACCCUGAUGCUGCUCCUUCUACCUCUACCUCUUCCCCUGCUCUUCGACACCCCGGAAACUUCAACUUCGCCGCUACUCAUUUCGCUUUUCCGGUUAUCUCCGGUCGAGACGCCGUUCUUUGGGAUGAUAUCAAACUCCCUCAAUCCAACGACUCUGAUUUUUCCGAGGUAGAGUUGAUGAAAGAGAGAUUUGCAAAGUUGUUGUUGGGAGAGGACAUGUCUGGUGGUGGAAAGGGUGUCUGCACUGCUCUUGCUAUCUCAAAUGCAAUUACCAAUCUUGCUGCUACUGUUUUUGGGGAGUUAUGGAGAUUGGAGCCGUUAGCGUCGCAGAGGAAGAAGAUGUGGUGCAGAGAAAUGGAAUGGUUGUUAUGUGUGAGUGACUCAAUUGUUGAAUUAGUCCCAUCGGUACAGGAGUUUCCUGGUGGGGGUUCGUUUGAGGUCAUGGCAACGAGGCCGAGGUCGGAUUUGUAUGUGAAUCUGCCUGCUCUUAAGAAAUUGGAUGCAAUGCUGCUUAGCAUGCUUGAAGGUUUUAAGGAGACUGAGUUUUCGUAUGCUGACCGAGAGAGUGAUGAUCGGGAUCCUCUUAAAACGGCGGUGUCUAAUGGUCGGCCGUCUGUUCGGCAGGAGGAGAAGUGGUGGUUGCCGUGUCCAAAAGUUCCGCCUCGUGGGUUGUCUGAGGAUGCUAGGAAGAGGUUGCAGCAGUGUAGGGAUUGUACUAAUCAGAUUCUCAAGGCUGCUAUGGCUAUUAAUACCAGUGUCAUUGCUGAGAUGGAGAUUCCUGACGUUUAUUUGGAGUCUUUGCCUAAGAACGGAAAAGAUUGUCUAGGAGAGGUCAUAUACCGCUACGUAACUGCUGAGCUGUUCACACCUGAUUGCCUACUUGAUUGCCUUGACUUGUCUUCGGAACAUCAAAUCUUGGAAGUUGCCAAUAGGAUCGAGGCAUCGGUUCAUGUCUGGAGAUUGAAAGAUCAGAAAAGACUUGCAGGUCAGUCUAGAAGUAAACGAGCAACUUGGGGUAGCAAGGUCAAAGGUCUUGUAUCCGAUAAUGACAAGAAUCAAGUUCUUGCACGACGUGCUGAAACGCUUUUGAGGUUCCUGAAGCUUCGGUUCCCUGUACUUCCACAAACAGCUCUAGAUAUGAGCAAGAUACAGUUUAACAAGGAUGUUGGGCAAGCAAUACUAGAAAGCUACUCAAGAGUUUUGGAGAGCUUAGCAUUUAACAUCAUGGCUAGAAUAGAUGAUUUAUUAUUUGUGGACGAUGCUGUAAAACAAUCAGCUUCAGAGUCCAAAUCGCUCUUCUGUAGAGGAGGUUUUGGCGGUCUCCCAAUCCAAAAACGUAUGUCACCUAGCCCCUUCUCUAUUCAGCAUACUCCUUAUGGCUCACCAUUUGCUACCCCAAGCUUCUGUUUCUCCCCUGCUGCCGGAGGAAGUCCUAGAUCACUUUCCACCCUCAGCAAAAUGAACCUUAAAGCAGGAGAAGAGGAUGUGAAAGUUGAUAAAACACUGGCAGAAGAAUUUGAGAGGAUCUGGGCACAUCCAGGGAAUCUGAGUGCGAGGAAAGCACCUGGAGAUGCUCCUGAGAGAGACUGAUGAUAACAAUACUUAAGAGGGCACCUUCCCAGAACAGCUAAAUAUAACUUCUCUGUAAAUUCUCUAGCAACAGAUCAUCUGUGCAGGGCUGGUAAGGAUUGUCAUCUAGAAGAAGUUCCAUUUGGUGAAUUUGGUUCGGGUGCAGAGCUGUUGUGAGUUAUUUGGUUUAGUAAUCGAUCAAUUUAAGCCAAUGUGCUGACUGUUGGGGACUAUUCCAGAUUUAAGCUGAUUAGUUUAUCACGAUACAAUCUUGUUUGGUCAGCUAGGGUCAAUUUUGAUACGAGUUAUGUAAUCGUGGAUUAUUCGAUUGGGCAAUCAAGUAUGAGUCUAUUUGUCAUGUACGGAGUAAUACGUAUGAUACAACCAUUAGCCGCAUUGAUCUUUUGCAAUGGCUUAAAUCAGGUCAUGUAAUAUGGAUACAAAGUUUCAGUGAGUUUGUUUGGGUAGUGCAAGCCUUUGUAAUGAUCUUUACAAGCAAUUUCGUUGCUUCUGCUAUUCCUGAACUCCUAUUUCCUGUUAGCACUGUCUUAUGGAUGUACACUCCCUCGUCAAUACUCAGUGCUUCAAGUCCUCAACUAGAUGAAAUUCACUAUGAUACCAAUAUAUCUCCAAUAGCACUAAGCUUAGCUAAAUAUGUAGUACAGACUACACACUUGUACAAUAUAUCAAUGA